CUAGUAAUCGCGGAUCAGCAUGCCGCGGUGAAUACGUUCCCGGGCCUUGUACACACCGCCCGUCACACCAUGAGAGUUUGUAACACCCAAAGCCGGUGGGGUAACCUUUUGGAGCCAGCCGUCUAAGGUGGGACAGAUGAUCGGGGUGAAGUCGUAACAAGGUAGC
rnacentral:rRNA from 1 species